CCUACGGGAGGCUGCAGUGGGGAAUAUUGGACAAUGGGCGAAAGCCUGAUCCAGCCAUGCCGCGUGUGUGAAGAAGGCCUUCGGGUUGUAAAGCACUUUCAGUGGGGAAGAAAGCCUUGGGGCUAAUACCCUCGAGGAAGGACAUCACCCACAGAAGAAGCACCGGCUAACUCCGUGCCAGCAGCCGCGGUAAUACGGAGGGUGCGAGCGUUAAUCGGAAUUACUGGGCGUAAAGCGCGCGUAGGCGGUCUGAUAAGCCGGUUGUGAAAGCCCCGGGCUCAACCUGGGAACGGCAUCCGGAACUGUCAGGCUAGAGUGCAGGAGAGGAAGGUAGAAUUCCCGGUGUAGCGGUGAAAUGCGUAGAGAUCGGGAGGAAUACCAGUGGCGAAGGCGGCCUUCUGGACUGACACUGACGCUGAGGUGCGAAAGCGUGGGUAGCAAACAGGAUUAGAUACCCCAGUGUC
rnacentral:rRNA from 1 species